GCAUCGCCUUGCUGAGAAACACGGUGCAAGCUGUGGCUUUGGGAUGGGCCUGCGGCGCAUUAGCUAGUUGGUGGGGUAACGGCUCACCAAGGCGACGAUGCGUAGCCGACCUGAGAGGGUGAACGGCCACACUGGGACUGAGACACGGCCCAGACUCCUACGGGAGGCAGCAGUAGGGAAUCUUCCACAAUGGGCGCAAGCCUGAUGGAGCAACGCCGCGUGAGUGAGGAAGGCUUUCGGGUCGUAAAGCUCUGUUGCCAGGGAAGAAUAAGGGCCAGUUAACUGCUCGUUCGAUGACGGUACCUGAGAAGAAAGCCCCGGCUAACUACGUGCCAGCAGCCGCGGUAAUACGUAGGGGGCAAGCGUUGUCCGGAAUUAUUGGGCGUAAAGCGCGCGCAGGCGGUCUUUUAAGUCUGGUGUCUAAGUGCGGGGCUCAACCCCGUGAUGCACUGGAAACUGGGAGACUUGAGUGCAGAAGAGGAGAGCGGAAUUCCACGUGUAGCGGUGAAAUGCGUAGAGAUGUGGAGGAACACCAGUGGCGAAGGCGGCUCUCUGGACUGUAACUGACGCUGAGGCGCGAAAGCGUGGGGAGCAAACAGGAUUAGAUACCCUGGUAGUCCACGCCGUAAACGAUGAGUGCUAGGUGUUGGGGGGGUCCACCCCUCGGUGCCGAAGUUAACACAUUAAGCACUCCGCCUGGGGAGUACGGUCGCAAGACUGAAACUCAAAGGAAUUGACGGGGACCCGCACAAGCAGUGGAGUAUGUGGUUUAAUUCGAAGCAACGCGAAGAACCUUACCAGGUCUUGACAUCCCUCUGACCGGUCUAGAGAUAGGCCUUUCCUUCGGGACAGAGGAGACAGGUGGUGCAUGGUUGUCGUCAGCUCGUGUCGUGAGAUGUUGGGUUAAGUCCCGCAACGAGCGCAACCCUUGGAUUUAGUUGCCAGCACUUCGGGUGGGCACUCUAGAUCGACUGCCGGUGACAAACCGGAGGAAGGCGGGGAUGACGUCAAAUCAUCAUGCCCCUUAUGACCUGGGCUACACACGUACUACAAUGGCCGGUACAACGGGCAGCGAAGUCGCGAGACGGAGCCAAUCCUACCAAAGCCGGUCUCAGUUCGGAUUGCAGGCUGCAACUCGCCUGCAUGAAGUCGGAAUUGCUAGUAAUCGCGGAUCACAUGCCGG
rnacentral:rRNA from 1 species